rnacentral:rRNA from 1 species
AUUGAACGCUGGCGGCAGGCUUAACACAUGCAAGUCGAGCGAGCGGCGGACGGGUGAGUAAUGUCUGGGAAACUGCCUGAUGGAGGGGGAUAACUACUGGAAACGGUAGCUAAUACCGCAUACCAUCAGAUGUGCCCAGAUGGGAUUAGCUAGUAGGUGGGGUAAUGGCUCACCUAGGCGACGAUCCCUAGCUGGUCUGAGAGGAUGACCAGCCACACGGGAAGUGAAACAGGGUCCAGACUCCUACGAGAGGCAGCAGGGGGGAAUAUUGCACAAUGGGCGCAAGACUGAUGCAGCCAGGCCGGGUGUGUGAAGAAGGCCUGCGGGUUGUAAAGCACUGUCAGCGAGGAGGCGUUACUCGCAGAAGAAGCACCGGCUAACUCCGUGCCAGCAGCCGGGUAAUUC